AACGAACGCUGGCGGCAUGCCUAAUACAUGCAAGUCGAACGAGCACUUCGGUGUUAGUGGCGGACGGGUGAGUAACAUGUGGGAACGUGCCUUUUGGUUCGGAAUAGCUCCUGGAAACGGGUGGUAAUGCCGAAUGUGCCCUUCGGGGGAAAGAUUUAUCGCCAUUAGAGCGGCCCGCGUCUGAUUAGCUAGUUGGUGAGGUAAUGGCUCACCAAGGCGACGAUCAGUAGCUGGUCUGAGAGGAU
rnacentral:rRNA from 1 species